ACCACUCAUUCACGGUAGUAGGGGAAGAUCAGUACUUGAGAGCUGGCAGUGUUGGUCUCCCUAAUGUUGACGAUUUCUUUUCAAUGCUAUUAUGUAGCACAAUCUCCAUCUUCUUCGGCUUCCACUGGAUCAACUCCAGCUACUCCAGGGCAAAGUAACCUUUUUACAUUGGAAUAAAGGACAGGAGAUGGCUCCUACAAUUGGGACCGAAGGUGGAACUCUCUUAGUUAGAAAAAUACCAGUUCCAGGCCCAAGUUAAGCAGAGAUCUUCAUACAUCUAUUGUUGAGCAACGCUUUCCAUUGUUUGUUAUUAUUUUACAGAAAAUGUUUCCCAAAGGCGAUCUACCUGAAUGGGUCUGCAAUGCCAUGGAGGUUGCAGAAGUUGAUAUUUCUUCAUGCUGUAGAUGAUCUUCAACGCUUUCCAAGCAGGUUGUUUCCACCAAAUUAUAUCUUAUACUUGGUUUUUAUGUGCCAAUUUUGACUAGGUAUCAUAUAUAGGAAGGAACACAUGCUUUUACCACAAAACUGUCCGAAUUGUGUACCAUUUUCGCUUCAGAAUAUGCACAACCAUUUUUAUAAUUUUUUUCGGUAACUAACAAGACGGUACAGAACAAAAGAGGGUGUUGAAAUGAAAAAAGAACUAAUGGGUGGUUUAAUGUGGAGAUUUUUGAACAUAUACUUAUAUUUUAUAUGAUUUCUCUAAACCCAUACUUACUACACAAGGCAAAAGA